rnacentral:rRNA from 1 species
CUGGCGUAAUGGUUGUAAGCGGCCCGUCUUGAAACACGGACCAAGGAGUCUAACAUCUGUGCGAGUGUUUGGGUGUCAAACCCGUACGCGUAAUGAAAGUGAACGGAGGCGGGAACCCCUCGGGGUGCACCGUCGACCGAUCCUGAUGUCUUCGGAUGGAUUUGAGUAAGAGCAUAGCUGUUGGGACCCGAAAGAUGGUGAACUAUGCCUGAAUAGGGUGAAGCCAGAGGAAACUCUGGUGGAGGCUCGCAGCGGUUCUGACGUGCAAAUCGAUCGUCAAAUUUGGGCAUAGGGGCGAAAGACUAAUCGAACUAUCUAGUAGCUGGUUCCUGCCGAAGUUUCCCUCAGGAUAGCAGUAACGUUUUCAGUUUUAUGAGGUAAAGCGAAUGAUUAGAGGCCUGGGGGUUGAAACAACCUUCACCUAUUCUCAAACUUUAAAUAUGUAAGAAGUCCUUGUUACUUAGUUGAACGUGGACAUUUGAAUGUAUCGUUACUAGUGGGCCAUUUUUGGUAAGCAGAACUGGCGAUGCGGGAUGAACCGAACGCGGAGUUAAGGUGCCGGAAUGCACGCUCAUCAGACACCACAAAAGGUGUUGGUUCAUUAG